rnacentral:rRNA from 1 species
GACGAACGCUGGCGGCAUGCCUAGUACAUGCAAGUCGAGCGGACUAUCUGAGAAGCUUGCUUCUCAGAUAGUUAGCGGCGGACGGGUGAGUAACACGUAGGCAUCCUGCCCUCAAGCUUGGGACAACUACCGGAAACGGUAGCUAAUACCGAAUACUUGUUUUCUUCGCCUGAAGGGAACUGGAAAGACGGAGCAAUCUGUCACUUGGGGAUGGGCCUGCGGCGCAUUAGCUAGUUGGUGAGGUAACGGCUCACCAAGGCGACGAUGCGUAGCCGACCUGAGAGGGUGAUCGGCCACACUGGGACUGAGACACGGCCCAGACUCCUACGGGAGGCAGCAGUAGGGAAUCUUCCGCAAUGGGCGAAAGCCUGGCGGAGCAAUGCCGCGUGAGUGAUGAAGGUUUUCGGAUCGUAAAGCUCUGUUGCCAGGGAAGAACGCUUGGGAGAGUAACUGCUCUCAAGGUGACGGUACCUGAGAAGAAAGCCCCGGCUAACUACGUGCCAGCCGCCGCAGUAA